rnacentral:tRNA from 2 species
GCAAGCGUGGCGGAACUGGCAGACGCACUGGACUCAAAAUCCAGCGGGGUCAAACCCGUGCGGGUUCGACUCCCGCCGCUUGCA